UUCCUACGGGGCGCAGCAGUGAGGAAUAUUGGUCAAUGGGCGGAAGCCUGAACCAGCCAAGCCGCGUAAAGGACGAAGGUGCCAAGCAUUGUAAACUUCUUUUGUCAAGGGACAAAAUCAGGCUCGAGAGCCUGACCGAAGGUACUUGAAGAAAAAGCAUCGGCUAACUCCGUGCCAGCAGCCGCGGUAAUACGGAGGAUGCGAGCGUUAUCCGGAUUUAUUGGGGUUAAAGGGUGCGUAGGCGGGCUGUUAAGUCAGCGGUAAAAGCC
rnacentral:rRNA from 1 species